rnacentral:rRNA from 1 species
GAUGAACGCUGGCGGCGUGCUUAACACAUGCAAGUCGAACGAUGAAGCCCAGCUUGCUGGGUGGAUUAGUGGCGAACGGGUGAGUAACACGUGAGUAACCUGCCCUUAACUCUGGGAUAAGCCUGGGAAACUGGGUCUAAUACCGGAUAGGAGCGUCCACCGCAUGGUGGGUGUUGGAAAGAUUUAUCGGUUUUGGAUGGACUCGCGGCGUAUCAGCUUGUUGGUGAGGUAUUGGCUCACCAAGGCGACGACGGGUAGCCGGCCUGAGAGGGUGACCGGCCACACUGGGACUGAGACACGGCCCAGACUCCUACGGGAGGCAGCAGUGGGGAAUAUUGCACAAUGGGCGCAAGCCUGAUGCAGCGACGCCGCGUGAGGGAUGACGGCCUUCGGGUUGUAAACCUCUUUCAGUAGGGAAGAAGCGAAAGUGACGGUACCUGCAGAAGAAGCACCGGCUAACUACGUG